CGAGGGACGGCGCGGGCAGGAGGGGGGGCGGCGAGAUCCACCUCCGCGGGAAAUAAUGGGGAUGAUAAUAAAACAGGGGGAAAACCCGUCCGAGGGAAGCUGAAUGGAUGGAGCCAGAGAGACGUCACGGCCAGCCGCAGCCAUGAAGACUGAGCGGUCCAGCCUCCGGCAGCUCAGUUGGUCUCCAUCUCCCGAGCUGCUCGCUUCUCGCUUUUGGAGAGCGGACGCCGCAGCGACUCGCAGACGACGGCGUCAGAACUUGGACCAUGUCACUUCACCUGCGGCUUGAGAGGAUGGGUAGCCUUAGGGGUUGGUUGUUAUCUUUGGUUAUCUAGCUGUAUGAGUGAUGUACAUUCUUCAUAAAGCUAGAUAACCGAAAGUAACAAGAAUCCCAUUACACUCCUGAAAAGGCAUCAAGACCCCAAACGCGCCUCCAUCUGAAAAAGCACAAACUCUGCCACAAGAACUGCAACACGAGAGAAGAAAAUGGACGACAUUUAAAAGGAGAUGGGAGCAGAGUGCAGCAAGAGGCUACCACCACCACACCACUGAAGGAAAGCUGGCAAAAGGAGACUGAAAAACAGAGAAGAAGGAGGAGGAGGGGUUGCUGUUGAUUCUGCCCUCCCUCUCUCCUCGCCCUCCUCUGCAUCGCCUCUUCCCUCCUCCUCCUCCCUUCCUCCUCCGCUCCAUCCUCAGCAGACUGCCCCUUUUUCCUGUACAGCGAGACGCAGCCCGCGCCACCAUCUUAGAGCAACGCUGGCAUGAAAUGGAAGUGGGAAGACCAGUCAGUGCAGAUGAAUGUUGUCGGUGCAGAGAGGAUCCGAGGCGGCCUCACAACAGAGGGAUGGAGGAUGCCUUCUUUAGCUCUUUCAAACAGGACUAAACAAGGACGAUGGCACCGACGUCUGCCGGGACUUUGGAGGAUCGCAGCAUUGUUUGCACCUCUCUGAUGCUGCUGUGAUGCAUUAUUUGACCCGAGCUGGACUGGUUGUCCUUUAGCAGAGCAAACAUCAUGGUGGACUGUGAAUGUGGACACGAGGCUCCGACAGAAGAUCGGCAGCUUGACCAAGUGCUCCAUAACUACUGUGACUUUUGAUUCUGUAAAUAAUAUUCUUAGAUAUUAUAUGUUAUAUGUAAAGUGAUGUACUAACAUAGGCUUGAAUUACUGUAGGUGUCAUUUGACGAGCUGUAGCCCACGUUUUGUUUGACGUAUGUUUUGUUAGAGUUGCUAGGACUCAAAGACAUGUGAAUGUGAGACCCACGGCAGCAGUGAAUAAUACUGCACUGUGAUUGGACGGCUCCGUGUGUCGGCUGACACAAUGGCGAAGGAGUGAGCUGUCGUCUUUACACUCUAUGCAACUGUUUAAUCUUUCUUUCUUUAUGGUUCCUUUUUUGGGGGGGUAACCGUGAUACCGUGUCGGAGCCCCUUUCAUUCUUACUGUGAACUUUUAUUUUGGGCUACAAGUUUAUAGACAUUCCCUCAGACAUCAUGAAGAGAAAUGGGUUUUGAGGAGCCAACAUUCCCGAUGUUAAUAUACUGAUACAGAAAUUACAGUCAGAGUGUGUUUGAGUGUGUGACAAAUGACACAAUACAGCUCAGUUUCAUACGGAUUGAAUCUCAUAUUUGCAGCCUUAACAGACUUUGAUCUGACUGUGCAGCCGUGAGCCCCAGUCUGAGCAAACGUGGACUCACACGUUUAAUAUUCCUGAUGGCAGGAGUGUGUUUGAUCAGCAGGAAGUAGCCGAGCAGGGCUCAUGGCUGCGUGUAUACAGAGCACGCUGCACGAUUAAAACCUCCCCAGCGCUCAGCAGUUUGGUUCAUAGCAGUUACCUGCUUGGCUGUAAUGAUACAUCGUUGGGUGAGACAUGACAAAUACAUUGGCUUCAAACACUGCCUUAAUUUCCUGUCCUUGACAUUAACACACACACACACACACACACACACACACACACUGAAAUGCAAUAAAGCAAGUACUAUCGCAGCCUAAUUCAUUCUAUAUUAAUUUUCGGGAAGUGGCAAAUUUUUUAUUACGAUUGAUAAUCUAUGCAAAUCUUUUAAAUAUUACUUUAAACAAUCUAUGUCUAUGCAGUGCUUUUGCAAUUGAUUCAAGGGAGACUAUCUUGGCCUAAUUUAGAAAAUGUAUUCUUUUGAUAAUCAUGCACAUCCCAGUGCUCAAGACAAUUACUUAUCUGCCUGGAUAAGCUUGAAAUUAUGUUUUUAAUCUUUAGCAAAAAAAAGCCACUCUUCUGAUAUCAGUCCAGAGGCUUGAAAACCAUGAAUUGUGGUCUAAAAUAAUUAAAUCGGUUGCACUAAAUCUCUUUUUCCCUUAAAUGCAGAUCAAACAUAUCUAUUCAGCUAUGCCUCCGCGUAGCUUACUGUUUUAUAUAAGCAGCAAUGUUUGUGUUAUGCAAUCUAAUCGCUGUGAAUGAGUGUUCACCAUAUGUGCCUUUGUAUGGAAAACUGUGUUGGAAUAGUAAUAAAGGUUUACAUUGAAAA